rnacentral:rRNA from 1 species
AGCGUUAUCCGGAUUACUGGGCGUAAGAGUUGCGUAGGUGGCAGAGUAAGUUGGUAGUGAAAGCGUUCGGCUCAACCGAAUAUCCAUUAUCAAAACUGCUCAGCUAGAGGAUGAGAGAGGUUAUUGGAAUUCCUGAUGUAGGGGUAAAAUCCGUUGAUAUUAGGAGGAACACCGAUGGCGUAGGCAGAUAACUGGCUCAUUCCUGACACUAAGGCACGAAAGCGUGGGUAGCAAACAGGAUUAGACACCCUGGUAGUCCACGCUGUAAACGAUGGAUGCUAGCUGUUAUCGGUAUCGACCCCGGUAGUAGCGAAGCUAACGCGUUAAGCAUCCCGCCUGUGGAGUACGGUCGCAAGACUAAAACAUAAAGGAAUUGACGGGGACCCGUACAAGCGGUGGAGCGUGUUGUUUAAUUCGAUGGUAAGCGAAGAACCUUACCCAGGUUUGACAUCCUUGGAAUUUUGCCGAAAGGCGAGAGUGCUUUAUUGAACCAAGUGACAGGUUAUGCAUGGCCGUCGUCAGCUCGUGUCGUGAGAUGUUUGGUUAAGUCCAUCAACGAGCGCAACCCUUGUGAUUAGUUGAAUUUUUCUAAUCAGACUGCCCUGGUAACAGGGAGGAAGGAGGGGAUGAUGUCAGGUCCGUAUUUCCCUUAUACCUGGGGCUACAAACACGCUACAAUGGCCGGUACAAAGGGCAGCCAAGUCGCAAGACGGAGCAAAUCCCAUCAAAGCCGGUCCCAGUUCGGAUAGCAGGCUGAAACUCGCCUGCUUGAAGUCGGAAUCGCUAGUAACGGUAGGUCAGCUAUACUACCGUGAAUACGUUCCCGGGUCUUGUACACACCGCCCGUCAAACCAUGAAAGUCGCCAAUACUUGACGUGCCAGCUUGCCUGGCCCUAAGGUAGGGGAGAUGAUUGGGGUUAAGUCGUAACAAGGUAACC